UCUUCGGGGUUCUUGGGGGUCAUACAGAUCCAAGACGAGCCCCCACAAUGUAGGACCGCUCUCAGGAGACCCCACUCCAGUCCCGGGAUUGUACUCCCCAAAGAAACGCAAGAGACC
rnacentral:pre_miRNA from 14 species